AUAUUGAGGUGCUAGAGAUUACACUAAAAUAUGUCCAACAAAAUACCAUAGAGAAAGCUUGCUCAAAAUAAAUAGUAUGACAAAAAAGAGCACUUCGACGCUGGCUGAUUCAUCCCCAGCAUUGCUAGUCGGUAAUGGAUGUCCCCAACGGUGACCGCAUUACAAUAUUGCCUAAUGCAUUCAGAUAUUGCCUGCCCCGUCCCAAAGAGAUUGUGCCUAUAUUAUAUCUAUCUAUAUUUUGCCUGCAUCCUGCUGUGUUGCACUAAUUAUCUCUCAGAGUGUUGCCUACAUCCCUGAAAGUGUUUUGCAUCAUCAUGAACCAAACACUCGCUUACAUCAUCUACUACGAGAGUAUAAAAAUGCCGACAUCACUCGGAAGUGUUGCAUCUACAUCCAUGCAUACUUGCCUACAUCAGCGGGGUGUUGUUGGUUAACUGAAUUUGCCCCUUGCUCGUGAAAAGC
rnacentral:lncRNA from 1 species